rnacentral:rRNA from 1 species
AGGUAAAGGCUCACCUAGGCGACGAGUCCGUAGCUGGUCUGAGAGGACGACCAGCCACACUGGAACUGAGACACGGUCCAGACUCCUACGGGAGGCAGCAGUGGGGAAUUUUGGACAAUGGGCGCAAGCCUGAUCCAGCCAUGCCGCGUGAGUGAAGAAGGCCUUCGGGUUGUAAAGCUCUUUCAGCCGGAAAGAAAACGCGCAGGUUAAUAACCUGUGCGGAUGACGGUACCGGAAGAAGAAGCACCGGCUAACUACGUGCCAGCAGCCGCGGUAAUACGUAGGGUGCGAGCGUUAAUCGGAAUUACUGGGCGUAAAGCGUGCGCAGGCGGUUUUGUAAGACAGAUGUGAAAUCCCCGGGCUUAACCUGGGGAACUGCAUUUGUAACUGCAAGGCUAGAGUACGGCAGAGGGGGGUAGAAUUCCACGUGUAGCAGUGAAAUGCGUAGAUAUGUGGAGGAAUACCGAUGGCGAAGGCAGCCCCCUGGGUCGAUACUGACGCUCAUGCACGAAAGCGUGGGGAG